CUACUACUCCCUCCGUUCCGAAUUACUUGUCGUAGGUAUGGAUGUAUCUAGAUGUAUUUUAAUUCUAGAUACAUCCAUUUUUGUGAUGAGUAAUUUGGAACGGAGGGAGUAGCUU
rfam:Triticum aestivum genome assembly, contig: Triticum_aestivum_CS42_TGACv1_scaffold_474297_6AL